UACGGGGGGAGCAAGCGUUGUUCGGAUUUACUGGGCGUAAAGGGCGCGUAGGCGGCCACCGCUAGUUGAUUGUGAAAUCUCCGGGCUUAACCCGGAAAGGUCAACCGAUACUGCGGGGCUAGAGUGCAGAAGGGGCAACUGGAAUUCUCGGUGUAGCGGUGAAAUGCGUAGAUAUCGAGAGGAACACCUGCGGCGAAGGCGGGUUGCUGGGCUGACACUGACGCUGAUGCGCGAAAGCCAGGGGAGCGAACGGG
rnacentral:rRNA from 1 species